CGCUCCAGGGAGAGGCUGGCGGCUUUUGGCGUCAGCGCUGCGAAUGGACGCAGGAUAUUUUCUGCCUCGUAUUCCCUGCUGCUCAUACCUGCGGCUGGCAUCUAGAUAUUUCUGUCUGUCUCGCCGCUCUCUCCACACUGUUUUGGGACUGCCAGCUCUAAGAAUUGUUGCCACGACAUUCGACUCAGCCAGGAGGUGAUGGCAAAUGCUGUGAGAAACCAAGGCACUGGUGAAGAGAUAUAUUGAGUCCAGCCUAGUCCAUUGAGGUUAUGAGAGAAUUGGGAGAGUCUCAAAUCAGUAUCCUAUAUGUACAUAGUUAUCAAACCAUUGUGAAAUCUUGUCCUCUGCAGAGUCUUCCUAGGACAACUCACUGAACUUACCUCGAGACAGCAUCAUCACAAGCUGCAGCUACAAAACAGAACAGGGGGAGAUCCUGGGAGCACUGAACUUUAGAUCACUAUGGCCAGGCCUAACUCGCCUCCUCCCAUGGAUGAAGCAUGGACCCAUGGAAGAGGAACAGGAGGAGUUAGAUCCAGAAGGAGAUGAGCCAUGGGAUGCAGAACCACAGAAGCAAGUAAAGAGCCUGCAUAUUUUGCCCUGCAGUUUAACCAUUCACUCCUUGACCAAGUUCCACAAAGAGAUCGAACUUGGAUCCUUAUGCUUGCGAAGCAGACAGUGGAAGUGCUGAGCUAAAUCCCCGGUCCUGUACUCAAAACUUUUACAAUUCAUUUUUAUACAAAAAUUGCUGGACAAUGGACUCACAGCCCAAUACACACUAGGACAAGAAGAACCUAGAAAGAAUCUCUAGAAGGAGUCUGUGACCCCAGAACCUUGAUAACAUAGUUUGGCCAAGCCAACAGGAACAGGUCCCAAGAUGAGCUAUGGGAAUCACCAUGAACUGCACCCCACAGAUCCCACCAAAGUCACCAUUAAGCUGUAUCCUUCAACAUUGGGAAGCACAGAGAUCUGACCUGCUCCUUCUCAUGUUUGGGCUCUACAUCCCUGACAUAACAAUAAAAUUACUUUCCUGACAAAUUCACCGAGCUUUCUCCCAUUGAACUGGCAGCUCAAUAACCCUCACACAUGGACACUAACUCCUUUCUUAUUGUCUUCUGAUAGGUUUUGUUUUUUCAACCCAGCCAGGGAGCCAGAAUAUCUUAAGGCAGUUGGAGAGCACAUAAUCCACAGUAGGUAGGACCUACAGCCCCUUUCAGCUAGAAGUAGCUAUAUGAUUACAGAGAUCACCACACCCUCAGUAGCCCAUAAAGAAUUGUGAGGAUUUAUGUCUCUCAGGGGGAAAUGAGGCAGGGAAUUAUGGUGUGGCAAACUGGCUGAGCAAAUGGUCAUGCUCUGUCAAUCAUGGAGAUCUAGGAUAUACACAGAAAAAGUUUCCAAAGCCCUGCAUAUUAGAACAAUUAGACAAUGCUAUCUUUAAUUCUUCUCAUGAAAACUGAAGCAGGUUUUUGAUAAGACAGCCUAGACCUGACAUCAGUCUGAGGAGUAGGAGAUAUAAAAGAUGGCCACCAUUGAGCUGAGCUCUUGGCCAUUAUGUUCUCUUUUUCACAAUUGUCCACUCUCACCUUGAGAGUGUACUUCUUUUCCUACCUUUAAUUAGCCCACACUCACUCUAUAGGCCAUGUUUCUUUUCCUAUCUUUAAUAAAUGCAAAACCUCAUUACCAUUUGCCCUUGUUUUGUCCAAUUCUUUGUUCAGGACAGGAAGACCCUAGAAAGAAUCUCUAGAAAGAAUCCAUAGAAUCCUGGAACCUGGUUAAAAAAAAAGAGGGCAUUUGUUUUGGUAAAAAGGAAAAACGGUUUAUUUAAAAUUAGCUCUGAAGAGAUGGAGAGGCUUCAUCACCCAGAUCAUCAUCUCACAGUGUGCUGGUGUAUUAGGAUCUUUUAUACCAAGGAAGAGAGGAGGGAAGGAAUAAAAUUAGACAAAAAUAUCAUAGUUUAGUAGUUAUUAUUAUGAGAAUGCAGUCAGAGCAGCUUGAUUAUAGGGUCCCAUAAAGGAAAAUAGCGCACCUUUAAAAACUAACUUAAGCAGUUUGUUAAGCUUAGAGUUGCAAAGACAAACACA